CACACCCUUUCCAUAAUAUGACUAAGGACAUUAAAAAAUUCAUAGGAGACAUUUCAUGCACACUUUAAUAUGGUCUGAAAGUUCUUGUUUUGUUUGAACUCAUCUACAAUAGUUAUUUUGAUGCCCUUUUCUUUCUAAGUAAGAUUAAGAUAUUGGUCAUUAUGUUGCCUUUGAAAAUGGCUUUGUCAUCAAAACCGGCUGACAGAUAUCUUGAAAUACAGUGCUACAAAUAGCCCACCUGCUUUAAAUUCCUGUGUUGAACUUCUAGGAUGGUGGUUUUAAGGAAGUUUCCUCCAUGCUGACUGGCUCUCGGAGUCCUGAAAAGUGCUAUGUGGGCUUCUGAGAGGUGGAGGAGCUUCAACAGUCUUACACCGCUGUGAAUCCUGUGAACUACAAUAAUGACUGGUCCAACAAUGAACACCCAUGGGUGUGUGUGCUUGUGUCAUGAAUGUAUGGUGACCACCAAGUGCUUUCUGAAUGGAUUUAAGGUCUUGCUCCAUGACAGGAAAAGAUAUGGGGUAGAGAAAAUCUGAAGAACAAUCUGAUUGGGGAGCUAACUCUGCUAGCAAUGGCAGAACCCUCUACUAUUAUUCUGCUAAGAAACAUUGUAUCAAAAUACCCUCUAAAUUUGUAUCUCUACCCACAGAAUUUGUAUCUCUCUACACACAGGUUAGUGCAGCUCCCAGACUUCAUCCGGAAAGUUUCUUUGUGCAGUGGGCAGCAGUUAAGACAGAAACUCACAGCUGGUCAAAGUAUAGAGGUUAAAAUGCAAGAGUACUCAACCACAAAUGAGGCACGCAUAUCAGUGCCCAAGCCCUACCACGGCACAAGGACUGUCUGGAACAAGGACUGUCUUGGAAGAAGGGUAGAAGCAUUGCAAGAGUCAGAGGUCAGAGAGAACCAGAACCAAACAGUGUCUUCUGGUUAUGACCACACUUGUGAAUUAGAAGUAGCUCUGGUUACCUGUAUGAGAUCAAGACAGUCAACAUUCUAGUCUGAAGGUGGCAGAGGCUCAUAAGUCUUCCCUGCUGACUGAGGAGACAUGGAUAGUUGAUGGCUUUGAAGAGAAGUGGAAUCUGUUUUCUUCAAGGGUGUGGUCUCUGCGAAUCCCCGACAAUGCCUGAGUAAGUCUGUGGAGACUCACUCUUACCUGAAAACUCCUAUCACCACAUCUAAGCCUGUCCUGAGUACUUCUCACUGAACAACGGUCUCCUGGUCGCUGAUGCAGCAUGAUCGGCCGGCUUCACUCUUGUCUCCAUGCCUUCCCCACCGUGAUGGAUCAGAGUCCCUCAAACGGGCUCCGAUUUACCAUUCUGCAGAGAGAGCAACCACCUCCAGCCCAAUCUCAAAAUCAAGUCCAAACGCUGUCCAAAGUCCGUGAAGUCUUAGUCCAAUGCCUUGUUUGGUUUCAGUCAUCCUUUUUCGCUGAGUUUGCAGUCCAACUCCUUCUCUCGCAGCUCUGCUAAUAUUGUCCCUUAAUUCUGCUUUGUAAUAAAUACCAUCGGCUUUAAUGUGUCUUGAAGGACUGCGCCAAGGGCUCCUGGGAUCCCUAUGAUCCCUAUGAUUCCUCAUCAACUUGACACACUUUGAAUCACCUAGGAAGACAGUCUCGGGAAGGGACUAUCUAGAUUAGGCUGGUCUAUGGGCAUGGCUGUGAUGGAUGUCUUGAUUCCAUUAACUGAUAUGGGAAACUUCAGCCUAAAUGUGGAUGGUGCUGGUCCCUGGGUUUGGGUCCUAGGUUAUGAAGGGAAAAGAGAGCUGAUCUGGCAGGAAUGUAUGCAAAGCUCUUGACUGUGGGCGUGACUUUCUGCAUCAAGUUCCCGACGCCUUGACCUCUGUGCAAUGGUGGACUUGAACCUGGAUUUGUAGAAUAAGUUACAUUUUGCUUUUGUCACAGCAACAGGGAAUAAAACUAAG
rnacentral:sRNA from 1 species